rnacentral:lncRNA from 1 species
UCAUGGAUAAUCUACUUUCACUUCUCUUUACUCUUUGACCCUCCAGCAAAGAUCUAUAUUUAUCAAAAUCGGUUUCCAAACUUUUGACGCGUUCACGCUCUUCUUGAAGAGCAUGUUCCGUCCGACGUAGUGCAAAUUUCCAUUGUGUUUCUGAAGCUUGCACAUCUUCUAAUUGAUUUCUCAGUUGCGCAUUUCUUUCCUCCAAACGAGAAACUGAGCUCUGUAUUCUCUUUUUAUCAUCAUCAAAUUUUGAUAUUUGAGCUUCCAGUUGACGGAUAGUCCUAUCGCGAUUGCGACAUUCAUCAAUUCCUUUAAUUCGUUCGAUGUCGGAAGCAGCAAACGAUGCUUCCAAAUCUGAUAUUUGCUUUUGUAGCAUUCGGACGUCCUUUGAUGUUGAUAUGGGAUAAGUUUUAAGAUCUAAAUCAAACAAUUUGAGCUCCAAAUCCUUUUUCUCCUUUUGUAAAACUCCGAGUUGACGAUGCAGUUGAAGAUUUUCUUCUCGAUGAUUAUUACUAUCUUUUUGAGUUUUUAGCGCAAACAUUUCGAUCUGUUUUAUGCGUUCAACUAAUGAUGAUAGUAAGUCAUCUUUUUGAGCAAGGUUACUCUUGAGUGUUAAUACCUCUUUCUCCAUUUCAAUUUCAUCAAAAGGUCUUGCAGAACUAUCGAAUUUUUUGUUCAAUUGCUCUGAAACUUCGUGAAGUUUUCGCUCAAGGUUUCGAUUUUCUCUUAAAAGGGUAUCUUGAUCUUUUCUUAAUGUCUGGUUUGCUUCUCGUACUUCUUGGAGUUGUGCAGUCAAAGAAAGAAGUUGGCUUUGGGCAUUUUGUUGCGCUGUUGAGGAAGAAUUAUUGACACGAGAAAGAGAUUGUAAGUCUGCUUGAAGUAUUGAAUUUUCUUUUAACAAAUUUGUCUUUUCCAAAACUAAUUCGUCAAAUUUGGUACGGAUAUCACCAAUUUCCGCAUGCAUGUGCCGAUUAUCUUGUCUAAUGCGCAAGUUCUUCUCACGUUCUUCUUCCAACUGUACUUUGAAACCAUUUAGCUCCUUUUGAUAACGUUGAAAGAGUAGUUGAUCCUUCUUUUCUCGUUCCUCGAGAUCUUGAACACGAAUGACAUGAAACUCAUCAAUUUGUUUCAUCAGUUUUUCUUUUUGCAGCAGCAAAGUAUUAUAAUCGUUGCUCUUUUCAACGUAAAGAACUUCAUACUCCUUUUGUUUCACGACAGCAUCUGCCAGUUCGUUUUGCAGAUCAGCAUUUGUUGUUUGAAAUCCGCGAGCGAGUUCUUCAACUUCCUGUAAACGCCCGGUAAGAUAAUUUUUAGACCUUUCAGCUUUAGAAAGUGAAGAUUCUGCAUGCUCAUUGAGUGACUGGACCAUCGCAAGCUGUUCGCGGUACUUGUUAACUGUAGAAGUAAGCUCCUUUAUCUUCAUUAUAUUAACUUCUUCUUGCAACCACUCGGUUUCUUCUUCUCCAGAAUAAUUAGUUAUACUACCAUCAAAAUUGGGAAUUAUUAAUUGAGAAGCAGUGGGAGCCUUUAAAGGAGAUGUAGGAACAGAAGGUCCUUGCAACCCAUGAAGCAAACGAUCUCUUUCCUUGGUUAUCUCUCUUAAAGCUUUUUCCGUUGAAAACAGCUUUUCUUCGCUUGCCGAAUAUAACUUUGCAAUAGCUCGCUUCGAUGAUAUUGCCUUUUCCACAAAACCUUUGAUUUGGUUUCUAGUAUUAUUUGGAACAUCUUCAAGUAAUGGAGCAAAAUCAAGCAUUUUAUCAUCACUGCCUAAAUUACUAGUAGUUAAGUUUUUAAGUUCCUCAUUUUCUUUUAACAAAGAUUGUAUAAGUUCCGAAAAUUUUGAUAGAUCUUUGUUAUCUAAGAUUCCAGACUUUGUAGCUUCCUUUAACUUCAAAUUGAUUUUUUCAAACUCUGUUUGAAGCACGGAAUUCCGUUGAUUAACGAUAAAGGGAUCAGGAAUACUACUAUUUUGAUCAAAAUUUCUAAUCAGUGCUUCCAUUUUGCCAGAUCUCUUUGAAGGUGAGCCGGGUUGAGAAGAGGGUAAAUUGCUGAUUUUGCUUGGAGACAAAGGUUUCAGCCCAGUAAAUUCCAUAUUAGAUUCAGGAUUAUAAAGCUUUUUCUGCAAUGAUGAUAUUAAACCACUUUGAGCAUCAGAAUUAGGAUUGCUUAAUAGCUUCCGAGAAUUCAUGAUAGCUUGAGUAUCUUUAAAAAUGUCCGGGGAAGGUCUGUCAGAAUUUGAUGCAUUGAGACGUUCCUUUAAUUCUGAUAAAGUACUCAACCCUUUUUCAAGCUUCCUAAUAGAGUUUGGUAUGUGUCCCGAAAUGUCAGUAAAAGAUAAAUCCUUAGAGAGGGAAUACAGAUUGCUAAGUUCUUCUUCAACGGUUAGUUGCAAAGCAUCAAGGCUUUUACUAAUUGUUUUCAAUAAUUUAUUGUCAAUUUUUCGAUCAUCGUUAUUACCAUCAAUGCGUUUUAGAGGAUCACCUGAAUGUUUCUCUUCAAAUGAUGGAUGUGGAGAAUUUCCAUCUAAAGUGUGUUGUGUAACUGACCGAUUUUCUGUUUUUUGUUUUAAUAGCCCAACUUUACACCUUUCCUUCUGAAGCUGAUUCAGUAAAUCUGAAAUUUUAUGUUCAUAACGGCUUUUUAUACCUUGGAAGUCUAUGAAAUCACUAGCAUUCUUCUCCAAAACACCAUUUGUAUCUUUCAAAUCCAGAUUAUCAGCAUUUAAAGAGAUAAUUUCAGUUUCCUGAUCCUGAAUUUGGUAUUUUAAGGCCUCAAUUAUAUCACAUAGUUCAGAAUUUUUUCUACGAAGCUUUUCUUCAGUCGCUAUACUUUGCUCAAGCAUCUCACUUAUCUCUUUAAUCCGUUCAGAUAACUGGUUUGCUUCUUUCGUAUGUAAUGAUUUAAGCUCUUGAACAUCCUUCAAAAUUGAAAGCGUGGUCGAAGAAGUAGAAUAAAUAUUCUCAUCACUGUUUAAGGGGCCACUUUUUACAUCAUUAAUGUUAUGAGUUUUCUCAGGAUUUUGAAAAGCUUUAUGAAGUUGAUCUCUGUAUUCCGUGAUUUCCUUCUGAAAGAUAACUAACUCGGCUUCCUUCUUAUUCAAUUCACUUUCUGUUUCUGAGUAUUUGGAAACAAGACUUGCUAAUUGAGAUUCGUAAGUACGACAUUGGUCUUUUAAGCUUGCGUUUUCUUCCCUUAAUUCUUGAACCUUUGUAUCAUAACUUCGUUGCUUUAAUAGUAACUCAUCAUCAAGUCUCAUGAGUUUCUCAUUCAAUUCGCGAAUAUUUAAAUUCUUUUCGUUAAUAGCCUUUUCAAGAUUUGAUAAAUGCUGCGAACUAUGUUGAUAAUCCGCCAUGAUAUUCAGAUAGUCUUUCUCAAGCUCUUUAUAUUUAGAAGAAAUCGUUUGCUCGUCCUUCUUAAUUGAAGACAGCUUUUUCUCCAAUGUAGAUGAUAAAUCGGAAAGAUAAGAAAUUUCUGUCUGUUUGUUGGCAAGGUCCUCCUCUAUGCUUUGCUUCUCUGCAUACAAAAACUCAUAUUUUUCAUCAGCAAUAGUUACUUGAUUUUCCAAACUUGACAGUCUCUCAUGAACAACUUCAACCCGGCUAUUGGCUCUUUCUACCAAAAUGUCCUUUUCAUGUGCCAGAGCUUGUUCCUCUUGCAAAUCGUUAGUCAAUUGUAAGACUCGUUCUUUGGUAAUAGUUAAUUCGUUUGCAACUUCCUUGGUACUUUCCAAUUGAUUCUGUAAAUUAUUUAUGAGUGCGUCUUUUCUUCUUAAAUACUCAUCAGUCUGGGUUGUUCCCAAUAACGGUUUAAGAUGCAGAAAAAGAUUCCACCAAGGAUGUGGCUUCAAUAACUUCAACUGCCUCAAGUUAUGCUGUAGAAGGAUAGCUGCAUCUUGCCUAUGAUUAAACCGGUAAAGUCUCCGUCUUGUCAAAAACCCACGAAUGCGAGCUGAAAAUGAAUUAAAUAUCACCCGCAGUAAAGCGUUUCUGCGAUCCUCUAAAGAACCCAAGACACUGGCUUUAAAAAAUACCUUUGUUUCACCCAAACGGUAUACGGUACUAGGUAAUUUUAAUUCAUUGAUGAUCGUUAUUGUUGCCUUUUUUGCUUCGACAUAUCCUCUCUUUAAUGACUGCGAAAGAAUCCCAUAACGAGCUCUAAAUUCUGUAUAAAAUAGUUUGUUUGGAAAUCCAGUUUGAGCAAUUCUAAUACCCUCCAGUACACCGUUGCAUCGAAGUUGAUGAAGAACGAGAGAUUUAUCCAAAUUGUGAGGCUGCUUCAAAUUGUUUGGAAUAAUGCAUCUGACAAAGUGAGGCUGAGUUGCUUCGAGUUGGUGCAUAAGACUAGAAAGCUGUCUCCUAUGACGCUGCGACACAGUACGAAAGAUUCCUUUCUUUUCAAUGUUAUCUCGACCACUAGCAUUUGACGAAUAAUCAUCAAAAAGAGAAGACACAUGACUGUUAGUAGAUUUGAACAUUAGUGCGGCAAGACAUGCAUUUAGAGGAUCUUUGUUUUUCUCCAGCCAAUCUUUGGUAUCAUAUUCGACAUCACCAGCAUAAUGUUUUAAAACAAAGCCUUCACUAGAAAACUUUUUAGGACGGUAUAUAUCGGAUUUACCCUUAAAAAGAAGGUGAAGUUUUUCUGUGAAUGUAGCAUCAGUAGCCAUUGGCAUAACACAAUCCUCGUCGAGGCAAGAAAAAAUACCAAUGGGCUCAGAUUUUUCGAUAGCAUCUAUGGUGGGCUGCAAAUCAUUUCCGUAGUCAAUAAAAUCCCAUUCGAUGCGUUCUUG